rnacentral:sRNA from 1 species
CUGAGCCAUUUCUCCAGCCCCCAUAAUUCUAUUUCUAAAGUGUCCUUUUCUUUCGAAAUAUACUUACAUAAAGUGUGGCCUUAACCAAAAAUUUUAAAUCUUGUUCUUCAGCAUUAGUUAUAUUCAAUUACUAUUGUCUUACAUUCAUGAUGUUCUAUCGUUAUUCUUCUGUUAUUCUUCUCUCAUUCAUUACAUCUCAAUUCCCUCCACCAAUUCCAUGCAGCUCUCCCAAUUAUCUCUCCUCUCACCCAGAUCCACACCUUUUCCCAUUAUGUUCAAAAGAGAGAGGGGGAGGAAAGGGACAGGGUAUAGGGAAAGGGGAAAGGGAAAGGGUGAGAGAGGUUACACAAGGAUGUGUCAACCAAACACCAUAAGUUAGCAUCAAAAGUUACGGUAAGACAAAACUGCUUAUUAAGACUGGCCGAAGAAACCAUCAGAGAUUUAAUUACUUCUGGAUGAAGUAAUUGAAAGUAUGCAUUAGGAUGGAUGGUAUAUUUACUUGUUAAAAAUUAUUUUUAAAACUCAUUUGUAAAUUAUUCUGAUGAGUGGAUUUAGAACCACAGCAAUUCGUAAAAGAUGCUGUCUAGAAAAUCCGACUGAUAUAAAACCACAUUAAAGCUGAGAAAGUCCUUUUCCUUUCUGUAUCCUCAACAACAGCAUGUAUCCGAUUGCAGCAAACUGAUCCAGUAAAUAGAAGGUCUACAGGAAAUGAGUUAUAAAAGCGCUGCGCAGUGUGUUGCCCCUCUCUUUCAGACCCUGGCUUCUGGCAAGAGAAAAUAUGGUGAAACUACAAAGACCAGAAAUCCUUUCGGUUUUCAACUUCCCUUGGAGCCAAGCCUGGGAGUGACACCCACUUCAUUCAAUUCCUGUGGUCGUGGGAACACUGGAAAGUGGUUUGUUUUCCCUUUUGUUACAUUCAGGAUUUCUUUGAUUGAAUCUUGUCUUCGCAAUAAUUACUGAUAAUACAAGUCUCGCCUUUAUUUUUUCCGUUAAUCUUGGAAUGCGGCUAAAAGAAGGAAGUGAACGAUUCAGAAUUAAUUGAGGGAUUACAGAAGUCACGAUUCAAUUCAAGACAUCGGGUCGAACACUACAAUCUUUGAAACAUUUGCAGUCGAGAAUUGGAGGGCAGUUAAUAAAUAUGCAAUUUCAUUCUUUUAUCUGCGGCCAUUCCCAUUGAUCAGAAUCAUUUAUUAAAAUUUUUAAAUUUUAUUAAACUAACAGAUAUCACUGUGGGAUUAUAUUGGCUACAUUUCUAAGGAAAAGUGACCCUCGUGCAUCAGGCAGUCAUCAGUGCUAAGGGAGCCCAGCUUUAUAAACUACAGUUGAAUUUGUUUCUGAAUGGGCGGGGAAGGAUUUCAUCUGGAAGCAAUGGGAAGAAAAGGGACUAAAUUUUUCAAAGAAGAAAAAGUAGAUGAAAGUUACCAUGUUGUGACCUGUAAUUUCACAUUGGGAGAGAUAAACGUGGAGUACUUCUCUGAGGACACUUUGGAUUACACUAAUUAGAAGGAACCUUAGGCUGCAGUUUGUGAAUGAAGUAGAGAGUUGGACAUUCUAUCUUUGUGAAUAAUUGAUGGAAUUUUGAUGGGGAAUUGCACUGGAACUGCAGAUCGCUUUUGUAAACUAUAGAAGCGGAUGUCUGUACCAAAGAUGAAAGAUGAGAUUUGAGCUUGAACUUCAUCAAAAUGCAGGUUACAUUGUGAAAACAAGGAAGAGCAGAUCACAGGAGGUAGACACGCAAAAAUAUGAAUCUCAAGAUCAUCCUAAGCAAGUCUAUGAACUGACUGAGUCCAUUUCAAAGGAAAGAACAUGUCAUUACUGGCACAAAACCUGUGCAAGUUUGGAUCUGUUAACCUUCUGUCAUGGGAAGCAGAGAAGGGCUCAUGAACACCAUAGUAGAAACUUUAUGACAGCUUGGCUUUGUACAAAUUUGGCAAUUAUUCUACAGUGGUAAUAUUUCUGAAAAAAUAAUUUGACACUUGCUCAUCCAGCAGCCAUCGAUGUUAAUUUCAUAUGAUCAAACUAUUGUCUCACUUCAUGAUUGAGAGAAGACGAUGCAUUUACUCACGGUAGGAACUGGAAGCAGGCGCUUAAACAGAAGUGUUGUUGCUGCUUACCAGUUUUCUUCCUGUGGGUAGUUCAGAAUCCUUCCUAAUACACACCAGGAUCACCUAAACAGGGACUAAAUUUUUCAAAGAAGAAAAAGUAGAUGAAAGUUACCAUGUUGUGACCUGUAAUUUCACAUUGGGAUUGAUAAACGUGGAGUACUUCUCUGAGGACACUUUGGAUUACACUAAUUAGAAGGAACCCUAGUCUGCAGUUUGUGAGUAUGUAUCAAAAAGUCACCAAAAGAAGUGAGUUUAAAUGAUGAUAUAAAUGAACAAAUAACUAAUUUAUCUGAGAUGUAAGUAGAGUAAAAUAUUUUCCAGUAACUAAAUAUUACAUGUUUGAACAAAAGGACAAUACAAAUCAAAUCAAUCAAAUGACUUUUAUGCUUUUCAAACCAUUGACACAUAGGAAUGUUGCUCUAAAUAGGAUGUAUACCCAGUGUGUUAUAGUUCCUGAGUUGAAAUCCCAGUGUUUCAGUGAAAAAAUAAUUUGACUCAUCAGUGAGCUGGCAGGUUAUAUAAAAUGAACUCUAGUAAAAACAAAGUUCCAUCCUGGAGUGUAUCAGAGCAGAAUGACUUGCACAAUUUUGCUCUGACCAAUAGAAAUGUAUCCUCUGAAGACUAACUUAAUUAAAUGUUAGUACCUAAAGAUGUAUCAAUAUGGAAUCUGUAUUAGUUUUUGAUUUACUAAUUUUUGAAAAUUGAUUUUUUUCAGACCAUAUAUUCUAAUCCCUCCUUACUUUGUUCUCCCUGAUAAUUUCUACCUCUACAUUGAUCUAAUUCCUCAUGUUCUCAUCCCACCCCUUAGAAAACAUGAAAAAAACAUAACCAUACGCAAACAGAACAAUCAAAGGAAUCAUGAAAUAUAAGAAAAAACACCAGAAGCACAUAGACACAUAUUUAUACAUGCUCACAGAGAAAAGCCCAGGAAAUUAUUAAAUUGUCAGUCAUAAUGUAUCAGAAAAUUACCAGCAUGGUUAAAAUAUAGUAAAUUAUGAAUCAAAAAAUUCAAACUUACCAUUGAUUUAUAUAAGUUAGAAUGAAGCCUUUGCUUGAGUGUGGAUUCUAUUCCUAUGAAACCGUACUGGAAAAAGUAGUUUUUAUAUUGGAAAAUGUGUUAAAUGGAGAGAGCUUCUUAGUGAGGUAGAUCAUAUUCAUUUUCCACUACUUGUGGUUGGACCUCCAAUAAUUUUGACCUGCAAAACCUGUGCAGAACCUGCACAUGGUUUCCUGGUUUAUAUGAGUCGAUAUGUGUAUCAGUCCUGCUCUAUCUGGACAUCAUUACUGACUUGCUUGCAUUCCUCCAGCACCACAGUGCCUUAUAAUAUUUCUACUGUGUCUUUUACAAAUCUUUCCUGAGCCAUGAAGGAAGAGAUAGGACAGCAGUGUAUCAUUUAUGAGAGUGUGAUCCAAAGUCUUUCACUCUGUAUAUUGUGCAGACAUGGUUCUCUUUACUUAGCCCAAUCUAUUGUAUAUGCUAGCUUUUGUGAUGACAGUAGAGCAAUAUACUGAUCUAUGCAUAUAACAGAAUGUUAUUAGGAAUCAUUUUGUAGCGACAUUUCUAUAGCAGGUAAUAAUACCUACCGUAAGCCUUAAACUCCAGUAUUUAGUCAUGAGAACAAUGGUAGAAAUGUGUUCUGUCUCACUGUGUAUGUCUCAAAUCCAGUCAGAUAGUGGUUUCUUACUCCCUUGAAAGCACCACUAUUGCAGCAGCUUAUCUUAUAGGCAGCUGACUGCGGUAGAUCAAAUAGUAUAGAGGUUGGUUGGCAUUUAAGUUUCUGCUCAGUAACCAUGCAGAAUUCAUUUCAGUAUGAGCAACACAAUUCAAAAGGUAAAGGUUUUAGUUAGGCACCUGCUUGUCUUCUCUACGUUCAAAAGAAA